GAAACACUGACUUUAGCCCAUUCCUGUCAUGGGCCAUAGACCGGUGCCCCGCGGCAAAUUAUAUUAGAAUCCGCCCACUUUGUAGGUUACUUAUGUCAGGUAAAGGUGUGGACCUACGUCAGGUCCAUUUGUGUGCCAAUAUGAAUGCAGCUCCUACAAUGUAGGAUUCGCUGCAUACAUUUAGGGAAUUUCACAGCCACAAUGCAUUGGAAGAAUGGGGCUGCAAGUUUUAAUAGCUAGAUCUCUUCAAGUAAACAACAAAACAACUUGGAAGAUUGCGAAUACCGAAGCCUCUGCGGUGGUUCUCAAAUGAGGUGGAGGGGCAGCUAUCACCUGCAUGGGUGAAAAAGGAGUGGGAGGACCUGAAGCAAAAUACUUACACUUAUUGCUGUGCUUGGCUAAUAAAGUUCCCCUUUUCUCUGAAGCAACAACACUUUCCCAUCUAUUUCCUAUGCUUCACUGGCACAUUCAUGUGUUGAAAGCUCCCCCCACCGGAGUCAGCACGGAGGGAGGGGAGGCCACAGCCACAUCCUGGAAGUGGUAUGUGGGGAUGGGUGAGGCGCUGCAGGGGCUCUCACUCUAUCACCCCACCAGUCAUCAUCUCUUCUGUUCUUCUGUUUUUGGUGAAGUCCUUUAAACUCAAAGUGGAUUUCUGUUUUCUCAUUGAAAAGUGUUUGUUUGUAAUAAAAUAAAAAAAUUGAUACCAG
ensembl:lncRNA